rnacentral:rRNA from 1 species
AGAGUUUGAUCCUGGCUCAGGACGAACGCUGGCGGCGUGCCUAAUACAUGCAAGUAGAACGCUGAAGAGAGGAGCUUGCUCUUCUUGGAUGAGUUGCGAACGGGUGAGUAACGCGUAGGUAACCUGCCUUGUAGCGGGGGAUAACUAUUGGAAACGAUAGCUAAUACCGCAUAACAAUGGAUGACCCAUGUCAUUUAUUUGAAAGGGGCAAAUGCUCCACUACAAGAUGGACCUGCGUUGUAUUAGCUAGUAGGUGAGGUAACGGCUCACCUAGGCGACGAUACAUAGCCGACCUGAGAGGGUGAUCGGCCACACUGGGACUGAGACACGGCCCAGACUCCUACGGGAGGCAGCAGUAGGGAAUCUUCGGCAAUGGGGGCAACCCUGACCGAGCAACGCCGCGUGAGUGAAGAAGGUUUUCGGAUCGUAAAGCUCUGUUGUAAGUCAAGAACGAGUGUGAGAGUGGAAAGUUCACACUGUGACGGUAGCUUACCAGAAAGGGACGGCUAACUACGAGCCAGCAGCCGCGGUAAUACGUAGGUCCCGAGCGUUGUCCGGAUUUAUUGGGCGUAAAGCGAGCGCAGGCGGUUUGAUAAGUCUGAAGUUAAAGGCUGUGGCUCAACCAUAGUUCGCUUUGGAAACUGUCAAACUUGAGUGCAGAAGGGGAGAGUGGAAUUCCAUGUGUAGCGGUGAAAUGCGUAGAUAUAUGGAGGAACACCGGUGGCGAAAGCGGCUCUCUGGUCUGUAACUGACGCUGAGGCUCGAAAGCGUGGGGAGCGAACAGGAUUAGAUACCCUGGUAGUCCACGCCGUAAACGAUGAGUGCUAGGUGUUGGAUCCUUUCCGGGAUUCAGUGCCGCAGCUAACGCAUUAAGCACUCCGCCUGGGGAGUACGACCGCAAGGUUGAAACUCAAAGGAAUUGACGGGGGCCCGCACAAGCGGUGGAGCAUGUGGUUUAAUUCGAAGCAACGCGAAGAACCUUACCAGGUCUUGACAUCCCGAUGCUAUUUCUAGAGAUAGAAAGUUACUUCGGUACAUCGGUGACAGGUGGUGCAUGGUUGUCGUCAGCUCGUGUCGUGAGAUGUUGGGUUAAGUCCCGCAACGAGCGCAACCCCUAUUGUUAGUUGCCAUCAUUCAGUUGGGCACUCUAGCGAGACUGCCGGUAAUAAACCGGAGGAAGGUGGGGAUGACGUCAAAUCAUCAUGCCCCUUAUGACCUGGGCUACACACGUGCUACAAUGGUUGGUACAACGAGUUGCGAGUCGGUGACGGCAAGCUAAUCUCUUAAAGCCAAUCUCAGUUCGGAUUGUAGGCUGCAACUCGCCUACAUGAAGUCGGAAUCGCUAGUAAUCGCGGAUCAGCACGCCGCGGUGAAUACGUUCCCGGGCCUUGUACACACCGCCCGUCACACCACGAGAGUUUGUAACACCCGAAGUCGGUGGGGUAACCUUUUGGAGCCAGCCGCCUAAGGUGGGAUAGAUGAUUGGGGUGAAGUCGUAACAAGGUA